AUGGGGAGGAUCUGCCCCCAAAUCCCCUCCCCAGGGCUGGGUGCUCCAGUCCCAUGCAGGCUUUCGGAGCAAUGCGGGUGUCCCUUUGGCAAAGGGGGAUUUGUGCCCUGCCUGGGGACCCCCUGUGGCCGUGGAUGGGACCCUAAUGGCUGCGUGUCCCGUGCUGAGCCCGGCUUCACCCAGCGCCAUCCCCGCGGGAGGUGCAGGAGAGCUCGUGAUGAGGCUGCGCGGCUAAUCCAUCCCCGAGUGCAACACAAGGGCUGCUGGUGCUUGAGGACAAGGAAGCUUAGCGAAAUUAGGGCCAUUUCCGUUAUCCUCCUGCCCAGCUCCCGUUGCAGUUGCACUACAGGAUCCUGCCCCCAGCAGGGCUGCCCCACACCCUGGGUGCCCACCCCAAACCCUCUCGCCCUUGGCCCUGGCUGCUCUUGCCUCUGCUGGCCGCGUUUUAGGGCUCGGUGCCUCACCGGUGGAGCUGAGCAGCUGCGUCCCCCUGCCCCGAGGUGCCAACGCUCUGCUCUCCUAAUCCUCCUCCUCCUCCUCACCCGGGAGUGCUGCCAGUGCCCGCUCGCGGCGUGCUCCCCCGGGCUUUGUCCCGAGCUAUCGGCGUGGAGCAACCCCGCGGCUCUGCCAAGGGCAGCGAAUCCCAAACCCGGGCAAAGGCAGGAACAAGAAGCAUCACUGCUUCCUCCGUGCUCCGCCACCUCGUGCCUUUUGGACAGGGACCCCCCCCCAGGGCUGGGUGCUGCAAUCCCACCUGCUCUGGGGGGGCUGCGAGCAUUGCCACGGGCACCCGUGGCCGCAGCCGGGGCAGGAUGCAGGCACCGCUGGCUCCUUCUGGCUGCUGGCACGUCCCCCUGUUGCCUUCUGUCCCCCGUGGGCCCAGCUGGGCGUUGGCGAGCCGUGACAGCCAGCCUUGGCCCCGCAGGAAGGCGUUGUGCAAGAGGAGCGGGGUUAUCGCGGCAGCGGGGCUGUCACCCAGGCUGGGCUGAUCCGGUGCCCGUCGUAAAUGUGUCACCCGCGCGGGCUGCGGCUCCCCGCGACCGUCCUUGGUGCUGGCCCCAAGGACUGAGGCUGGCGAAGGGACCUGCGCAGCACCGCGUGCAGGGUGCUGGGCGCAGAGCGGCGUGGGGUGAAUCUGUUGGGGGAAACUCCUGCCGUGCACGCACACGUCCCUGGGGUGUUACGGGUACCAGAGGAGAACAGGUGGCAUCAACAAGUAAUAAAAUCCCUAGUGGGGAAUGUUGUGGGGAGUUGAGCACGGCUCGGCUGUUGGGGAAUCCCUACCCGAGAUCAGGAGGUAACAAUCAAGACGGUAUCAGCAACCACAGACAACUUUUAUGUAUUCAAUAUAAACGUGGCUUGAGCCUCUCUGUGUAA
rnacentral:lncRNA from 1 species